rnacentral:tRNA from 1 species
GUGUUUAUAGUUUAGUGGGUAAAGCUCUUAAUUUUAAACUUGGUGGUUAAGGGUUCAAACCUUAUUUAAGACA